ACCAAGCAGUCACUCCCCGGCAGGGCCCACUGGCCGCCUGCAGAGAGGCCUGUUCUGCCUGCUCCCCUGAGCCGCCGCUGGAAAGCACCACCAAAUUCCCUGCGAAUUCUGCAACCAAUGAGCUGAACCAGGUCACUAGGUGAAGGGGGAGGAGAGGGCAGAGAUUUCCUGGUCGCUGGGAUGCAGUAGCCACCAGUCCCCUAAGUUAGCGGGGCACCAAGUCCUGGUGAGGACAGCCCGGUGUGGGGACACACGCCUAGAACCCAGCACUGCGGAGGCUGAGGCAGGGUGCUCGCUGUGAGUACUGCACGAGAAGAGAUGAGACCCUGUGAGGACUGGGUCUAGUGGGGCCUGGCCCAGAGACGCCAAGUCACCAAAUAGGGCAACUGAUCCACGUAGUUCAGAGCACUGAACCCCAGGGCUGAGAACAUUAACUCUGCUACGAUUUGCUCCACGGGGUGAGGCCAUUGGACCAGAAGGAACCGCUGGACAGGCGCAGGGCCAUCGCCAUCUCAGGGAGAGCUUUGCCCAGCCAGGCCUCCCAGCAGGAGCGAACCUCGGCAUGCCCUGAUGGAAGACAGGACAUUACAAAUGACUGAGAUUGAUUUCCGGACAGUUCAGUGGGGACUCAGCAUCAGACUGAAGUUCACGUAAACAAAAAGUCAAGAAGUGUGUUACUCCCAUCACAUCAGAUUCACAGCUGCACCCAGUGUCACAGCAUACAGAGGCUGUGGGCAUGGUGCAGGCACACUACAGCCUACGCGCGUGGGCAAAGCUUGGGCGAUCUCAGAUUUCAGGAAGCCUUCAGACAAUCCCUAGGAGUUCUGAAAUUACCUCAGAGACACAGAUGUGAGGUUGGGAUGGAGCUGCUUCAUGCGAGUUGGGUGACUUUGGAGGACAAACAGGAAGGAAAAACAGGAAUUGAAUCCCCUAGCACGCAGUCAUGUGUCUUUGUUUCUCAGAGCCUCGGUUAAAGCGAAGAGGUUCUCCUUCUUCCUCAUUAGCAAAUCCUAAAGCUGUUGCAUCACCUCAGGCAGGACCAAGCCAACAGACUGCAAAGCACAUUUCAGAAUUAGACUUAAACAUUGCAUGGUGCUUACUUACACAAGAAACCCUGAGUACAAAUAAAGAGAUAAACGAAAAGACGGUAGAGAGAUAUUUCUCAAAUGCCAAAGGGAUCAAGAGAUGAAGGAAGCAGAGGGAGAGAAGGGAAAGGCGAUGUGAAGGGAAUUCAGAUGUUACAUACAUGGACCAACUCUACGAAAGAAAUGAGGAAUGAAUGAAGAGGCAUUUCAUCUGGAGGAGCUCCAGCUCUGCAGAACCUGAAACCCAUGCAGUUUGCGAAGCUCUCCUGAUGAACAGUAAUGCAAAAUUAUAAACGGCGCCUGCCUGGGAGGAGGCCAAGUCAGGACUAAGCCUGGCUCCCCGGCUCCACCAGUGCAUCCAUCCCUCAUCCCAAAUUCUCUACUUCCUGUGAGCUUAAUUCUUGGUUUAAUUUUCUUCUCUAGCCUGUUCUCCUCUCCCUCCAUAUUACCUUAGAUAAUCCCCAAAGUUCAUCAAAUCGGUGUGUUUUUCGCCUGUACACAGCUAUGUAAGAUGCUAUGUCUUUUGUUUCCUUUUCCCACAAGUUGUUGAAGAUGAAACCACUGCUGUUUUCUCCAAAAGAGGUUCAAAUUUGACCUGAGACUAUGUAAAAGAAACCCUCUCAUCUUAAUUUCCCAGGCUACAUGGAAAAUGAAAUUGUUGUACUUAUUAAAAUAGCUUUUCUUCAAAUUCUUGUGACUUACUAAAAAUGACCAUUAGCAUUUUCAGUUGGUUCCAUUUUGGUUUUGGUCAGAGUUUCUUCUGAACUCAGUUUCACUAAGAACUUUGGUGACAUUUAUCCUUCACUUCCCCUUUUUUUUUUUUUUUUUCUGAUGCCUUCUGGACCAGCCUAAGGGAUGUGUCACUCUAGUUGGCAUAACAGCUUCUCUUUUUUGGAUAGGAUCAGUUGAGAGCCAGCACUUCAAUCAGUGGUAAUAACUCAAAGUCUUACUUUCCCAAGGACUCUAAAACUGACUCUCACUGGUAGUAGAUUAAAACCCUGUUGUGAGCACAACAUACAGAGGGCUCAGCUCGAAAGUCAGCAGUGGCUAAGGUCCUGCCCUCACCCCCCACAACCCUGCAGCCCAGAGGGAGGGAUACACAUGAGCCAUGUACUAUGUUCCUAUACUGUCUGAACCACUUCACAAACAUGAACUCACAAGUACAGGGCCGGGUGUGACAUAGAAUGACAGGUCACAAGCAGUAUCAUCUGAGGCCAUGUGAGCUGUGGCUGUUGGGGGAGCAGAGGGAAUCUGAACAGAGACUUUGGGAUCACCAUACUUUUUCAAAUUUUUUUAUACUGGGUACUGAACUUAAGGCCCGGAGAAUGCUAGGCAAGCACUCUAUCACUAAGCAUCACCGCUUUUUGUUGUGUGGUUUGAGCUGUCCAGGUUUGUCUCAAACUUGUGAUCCUCAUAGCUGAGCUUCCUGAGUAGCUAGGAUUACAGGCAUACAGCGUGCUGCCUGGCUGGUCAUAAUGCUUUAGACAGGCAGAGAUAUUCUGAGUCAUGGCACAUGGGUUUACUUCUUAUUAGUCCAGAGGGGUUCAUAACAUGGCACCCCAAUAUUACUGAAUGUGUCACGCUGAAAGAAUCUGAGAACAUGGCAGAAGCG